ensembl:snoRNA
GUGACCUUUUAGAACUGAUGGAGUGCUUUAAGAGGCUAACACAGGUGGGGAAAGUAAGUCUCCAUAAAAUGCAGAGAAGAGAUUGUCACCUCUUCUUUGGUUCCUGUCGAGUCACAGCU